rnacentral:rRNA from 1 species
CUCAGAUUGAACGCUGGCGGCAUGCCUUACACAUGCAAGUCGAACGGCAGCACGGGGCAACCUGGUGGCGAGUGGCGAACGGGUGAGUAAUGCAUCGGAACGUGCCAUUGAGUGGGGGAUAACGUAGCGAAAGUUGCGCUAAUACCGCAUAUUCUGUGAGCAGGAAAGCAGGGGACCGCAAGGCCUUGCGCUCUUUGAGCGGCCGAUGUCAGAUUAGCUAGUUGGUGAGGUAACGGCUUACCAAGGCGACGAUCUGUAGCGGGUCUGAGAGGAUGAUCCGCCACACUGGAACUGAGACACGGUCCAGACUCCUACGGGAGGCAGCAGUGGGGAAUUUUGGACAAUGGGCGCAAGCCUGAUCCAGCCAUGCCGCGUGAGUGAAGAAGGCCUUCGGGUUGUAAAGCUCUUUCGGCCGGGAAGAAAUCGCAUGGGUUAAUACCCUGUGUGGAUGGCGGUACCGGAAUAAGAAGCACCGGCUAACUACGUG